UCUUCCUUGUUGCUUUCUUAGUUUCCUCCAACUCUGCUAGAAACCUUCCCACCAAUCCCAAUGUUGACGACCAAAAGAACUUGUUCCACCGUCCUGGACUUGCCGGCGGCGGCCUUGGAGGCGGUGGUGGCCUUGGAGGCGGCGCUGGACUAGGCGGUGGUGCUGGAGCUGGACUUGGCGGUGGUGCUGGAGCUGGACUUGGUGGUGGUGCUGGAGGUGGAGGAGGACUUGGUGGAGGUGGAGGACUAGGUGGCGGGACUGGUGGUGGAUUUGGAGCUGGUGCUGGUGCGGGUGGUGGAGCAGGAGGUGGGCUUGGUGGUGGCGCAGGAGGAGGUGGGGGGGUUGGAGGCGGGGGGGGGGGGGGGGGGGGGGGGGGGGGGGGGGGGGGGGGGGGGGGGGGAGGGGG
rnacentral:lncRNA from 1 species